rnacentral:lncRNA from 1 species
GGUGUCCACCCAUUGACCAUCAUGACAUCCGAGUUAUCUAAAGUAGGUGGGACCGUAUCAUCAGUAGUACCUUCAGAACACCAAUCUAUCAAACCAUUGUCGGCCGAUUCAGUAAAUGUUUCUUUUAACAGAUAUUCUUCCGCAAUGGUUUCAACCCAUUCAACUUCUUUACUUUCUUCAUGUUCACUGGGUUGUUUGCCU